rnacentral:rRNA from 1 species
UUUUACAAUGAAGAGUUUGAUCCUGGCUCAGGAUGAACGCUAGCUACAGGCUUAACACAUGCAAGUCGAGGGGCAGCAUGAGCUUAGCUUGCUAAGU